rnacentral:rRNA from 1 species
UACGGGGGGGGCAAGCGUUGUUCGGAAUUACUGGGCGUAAAGGGCUCGUAGGCGGCCAACUAAGUCGGAUGUGAAAUCCCCAGGCUUAACCUGGGAACUGCAUCCGAUACUGGAUGGCUUGAAUCCGGGAGAGGGAUGCGGAAUUCCAGGUGUAGCGGUGAAAUGCGUAGAUAUCUGGAGGAACACCGGUGGCGAAGGCGGCAUCCGGGACCGGCAUUGACGCUGAGGAGCGAAAGCCAGGGGAGCAAACGGG